UUCCUUUUUUUUCAGCAAUUAUACAAGGAUAGGGAAACAAAUCAAUUUUGAUUUGUUGUCAGAGACCAGGUUCAGCUAUAGUGGGCUCCCUUCCCCAGUGGAGCGAGAGAUAGAGUGACAAUGUUUAUGGCAUGGCUUGACCAUCCAUAGUCAAUGUCUCCCAUGCAGCCUACGCGGAUAGAUCUGGCCCUUCAGAGCCUGGAUCAAGCAUCUCUUUGGCC
rnacentral:lncRNA from 1 species